UAGGGAAUCUUCGGCAAUGGGGGGAACCCUGACCGAGCAACGCCGCGUGAGUGAAGAAGGUUUUCGGAUCGUAAAGCUCUGUUGUUAAGGAAGAACGAGUGUGAGAAUGGAAAGUUCAUGCUGUGACGGUACUUAACCAGAAAGGGACGGCUAACUACGUGCCAGCAGCCGCGGUAAUACGUAGGUCCCGAGCGUUGUCCGGAUUUAUUGGGCGUAAAGCGAGCGCAGGCGGUUAGAAAAGUCUGAAGUGAAAGGCAGUUGCUCAACCAUUGUAGGCUUUGGAAACUGUUUAACUUGAGUGCAGAAGGGGAGAGUGGAAUUCCAUGUGUAGCGGUGAAAUGCGUAGAUAUAUGGAGGAACACCGGUGGCGAAAGCGGCUCUCUGGUCUGUAACUGACGCUGAGGCUCGAAAGCGUGGGGAGCGAACAGG
rnacentral:rRNA from 1 species